GAGCAGGGCUGCUUGCCAGUAGUGCCCACACAGGCCCUUCCUUUCCCUUGUUUGGCCAGUCAAAGCAGAGCACAGCACCUUCUCCUCAUUGCUAUGUCAUGACAUAGUGCUACACUGCCUCCACCUCCUCCUCUCUGUUCCCUCAAUGCUCCUGAGCAUCCCUGGCUCCUAAUGAGGUGGAGCUAAUACUGGCAGAUUUCUCUUCUAAGACCAUAGAAAAGUGAACUUAUUCAAAGCAAUCUCUACUCUAGCAGACAAGAGUCUGGGCUAUUCACAUCUCUAGUCAAUUGGAAGGAAAUACUUGGACCAUAAGAAGCCAUACACAAAGAGGAGACCUGCAAGGGUUGGGAGGUGGAUCACACAAGAAGAAACAGUGCUGGCAAUAUUUAACAUAGGAACAAUUCAUGUCCAGUUAUCCGGGAGCAAAAGUUAUUUGGCAUCAUGACAUUGGAAAUAAUGACUAUACUGGGAAUCUACAACGAUGUAGAGAAGGGACAUCAGGUCAACCUAUCGCAUUCUAAAAGAAUACCUGUGAAGUAACUAAUGAAGAAAGGCUAUGCAUCAUCAGGAUUAACUCUUCAAUGACCAGAGGGACACCUUGUGACCAAAUCUGAAUUGUAGCCUUCUAGCUGCAAAAACUGUAACUUUACUAAGAUAUUAAUCAUUUCCAGACAAAGACAAAGAUAUCAUGGAUUUCCAGGGCUAUUUUUCGGAAUACAGACAAUUUGAAAUUGAUUUCAUUUUAAAUUCAUUCUUUAUCUCAGGAACAUGGAAGCAGAAAUAAUUUAUCCAUUUCUCUAACUCCAUCACUUUGCACAGGAAUAGUAUAGCCACAUCACUGGUGUCGCCACAAUU